UACUGUGGCGGUCUUGAGCAGACAAAGUGCAUGCAUGCUUGGUUUCACUUCUGCAAUUUUCAGAUUUCAGUAAAUUAAAAACACCACUAUGAAGUGAAUCACUGGCAAGCGGGGAAACAAAGCACUGCCGCUGGUAUGAGCGCUGCACAGUAAUGCGCUAAUCUCGCCUCCUUCCCAGUCCCUGGCCCUCGUCCUCCCCUCUCCCCCGCUCCCUUGUCAUGACAUUGGCCUGUGACACGUGUGGGAAACUUCUGCGGGGGCCCCAGCUUCGAGCGGGACACUGAUAUACUGAGAGUGCCGGGUGACGGGGCUAUUUUGGGAACUUGUAAAUAUGAGAACUUCCUCUCCUAAAGUCAUUUUCAGGUGCUUCCACACGUUAGGCCAAGUUUUAUGGGGAGCAUCCGGCUGACAGUUCAAGGGACGCCCAAACCCUCUGCCCUGUUUGGAAGUGGGGAGACGAGACGGGGAGCAAAACAAGCAAAGAAAUGUCACUGAACUGGAACUCCAGAGGAGGAAACUGAGAUUACAAUAAGAGCGAUUUGAGGUCCGCCGCCAGCCCUUAAGCCCCAAACAGAUCAGGUUAGAUCGGAUGAGUGACUCUGAGCUGCUAUUCUCCACAGUUAAUGGAAAAUGGAGAGUGAUUUAUACUGAAUAAAGGACUUGGUUUAUCGCCCAGAAUACAAAAAAAGUUCAAGCAGUGUGUCAAACAUAAAUAAGCAGAAAGCGAUUAUUUGCAAAUCAUAUUCUUAGAAGUUACAUCGCAACGUCGAUCUCUCACACGGAAUCGCGGCUGGACAUCGGGCUAAUGUUUCUUACGUUAGAAGACAUGUCUGUAUGUCAAAUACAUGUACAUAAUUGAACCUAAAAAUGUUUUGCUGAUUGGGAAAAAGGUUUGUUUAUUGGUCAAAAAAUGUACCCAUUAAGCCUUCGGCUUUAGGAAAAUAUAUUGUAUGUUUGCCACAUUUAAUUAUUAAUAUGUGAAAAUCAUAUUUUUGUGGAUUUCAAAUGCACCGCAGAGGGAUUUGUGUCUUGUUUUUGUUAUGUUAUAUGUAUUGAG